rnacentral:ncRNA from 1 species
CAAAAGUCGAGGACGGGAAGAGUAAGUUUGGAUCUUGUUCCCCAGAGAGUUGGCAUAUUGCUGAAAGCCAAUGUUCAAGGCCAUUCCGAAGAUCAUCCCCGAGAUGCAAAGCUGAAGUUUUUAGUAGGCUUUGACGGUGAUUCCCCCGUUAAGAAAGGAACACGUAUGUUGGUACGUUGAAUGAGGUGCCGCACGUUUCUGUGCGGAAUAAGGGUGGUAACGCGAGCAAACUCGUCCCUGUU